rnacentral:rRNA from 1 species
CCUACGGGAGGCAGCAGUGAGGAAUAUUGGUCAAUGGACGCAAGUCUGAACCAGCCAUGCCGCGUGCAGGAAGACGGCUCUAUGAGUUGUAAACUGCUUUUGUACGGGGGUAAACGCAGAUACGCGUAUCUGUCUGCAAGUAUCGUACGAAUAAGGAUCGGCUAACUCCGUGCCAGCAGCCGCGGUAAUCCGGAGGAUUCAAGCGUUAUCCGGAUUUAUUGGGUUUAAAGGGUGCGUAGGCGGUCGGAUAAGUUAGAGGUGAAAUCCCGAGGCUCAACUUCGGAAUUGCCUCUGAUACUGUUCGGCUAGAGAGUAGGGGCGGGAGGCGGAAUGUAUGGUGUAGCGGUGAAAUGCUUAGAGAUCAUGCAGAACACCGAUGGCGAAGGCAGCUUACCAGGCUACUUCUGACGUUGAGGCACGAAAGCGUGGGGAGCAAACAGGAUUAGAUACCCGGGUAGUC